rnacentral:tRNA from 4 species
GUAGGCAUAGUUUAACGAGAACAUUAGAUUGUGAUUCUAAAGACAGGGGUUAAAGCCCCCUUGCCCACC